ncrna:Pontibacillus chungwhensis BH030062 L31-Firmicutes ribosomal protein leader
CUCUGUUUCCAAAGGAUUCAGGGCAAAAAGGAG